rnacentral:rRNA from 1 species
AUUGAACGCUGGCGGCAGGCCUAACACAUGCAAGUCGAACGAGUGGCGGACGGGUGAGUAAUGUCUGGGAAACUGCCUGAUGGAGGGGGAUAACUACUGGAAACGGUAGCUAAUACCGCAUACCAUCAUAUGUGCCCAGAUGGUAUUAGCUAGUUGGUGGGGUAAAGGCUCACAAAGGCGACGAUCCCCAGCGGGUCUGAGAGGCUGACCAGCCACACUGGAACGGAGACACGGUCCAGACUCCGACGGGAGGCAGCAGUGGGGAAUAUUGCACAAUGGGAGCAAGCCUGAUGCAGCCAUGCCGCGUGUAUGAAGAAGGCCUUCGGGUUGUAAAUUACUUUCAGCGGGGAGGCGUUACCCGCAGAAGAAGCACCGGCUAACUCCGUGCCAGCAGCCGCGGUAAUUC